AAAAGUCCAUCCCCAAAUUCAAAAUUUUUCAAAAAACUUUUCACCAGCAAGGGAAAACGACUCCAUUCUAUAAAAGGAAGGGGCAACGGAUUCUCCGGAUCGAUUGAAGAUCCUUGGCGGGAAACGUGGCUCAAUCUUGAGCCAAAUAGGAUGGAAUUGUGUGCUUGGACCUGCUGGACAUCGUACAUAAGGAAAAGGGACGUUGGAGAAGAAAACAAUAUUCUGCAGCAUACGUCCUUGCUGCUUGCUCAAUCGACUCGCUCUCGAGUGAGGCGCUGACUCCAGAUUUUUUUGGGUUG
rnacentral:misc_RNA from 1 species